GGAAGGUGUGGAUGACGUCAAGUCCUCAUGGCCCUUACGGGUUGGGCUACACACGUGCUACAAUGGCAGUGACAAUGGGUUAAUCCCAAAAAGCUGUCUCAGUUCGGAUUGGGGUCUGCAACUCGACCCCAUGAAGUCGGAAUCGCUAGUAAUCGCGUAACAGCAUGACGCGGUGAAUACGUUCCCGGGCCUU
rnacentral:rRNA from 1 species